rnacentral:rRNA from 1 species
CAGUAGGGAAUCUUCCACAAUGGACGAAAGUCUGAUGGAGCAACGCCGCGUGAGUGAAGAAGGUUUUCGGAUCGUAAAGCUCUGUUGUUGGUGAAGAAGGAUAGAGGCAGUAACUGGCCUUUAUUUGACGGUAAUCAACCAGAAAGUCACGGCUAACUACGUGCCAG